CCUACGGGAGGCAGCAGUGAGGAAUAUUGGUCAAUGGACGCAAGUCUGAACCAGCCAUGCCGCGUGCAGGAAGACGGCUCUAUGAGUUGUAAACUGCUUUUGUACGAGGGUAAACGCAGAUACGCGUAUCUGUCUGAAAGUAUCGUACGAAUAAGGAUCGGCUAACUCCGUGCCAGCAGCCGCGGUAAUACGGAGGAUUCAAGCGUUAUCCGGAUUUAUUGGGUUUAAAGGGUGCGUAGGCGGGCGGAUAAGUUAGUGGUGAAAGCCCGAGGCUCAACUUCGGAAUUGCCUUUGAUAAUGGUAAGCUAGAGUAUAGUAGAGGUAGGCGGAAUGUAUGGUGGAGCGGUGAAAUGCUUAGAGAUCAUGAAGAACACCGAUUGCGAAGGCAGCUUACCAAACUGCAUCUGACGUUGAGGCACGAAAGCGUGGGGAGCAAACAGGAUUAGAUACCCGUGUAGUC
rnacentral:rRNA from 1 species